UACGGGGGGGGCAAGCGUUGUUCGGAAUUAUUGGGCGUAAAGAGCUCGUAGGCGGCUUGUCGCGUCGACUGUGAAAACCCGUGGCUCAACCAUGUGGUCUGCAGUCGAUACGGGCAGGCUAGAAUUCGGUAGGGGAGACUGGAAUUCCUGGUGUAGCGGUGAAAUGCGCAGAUAUCAGGAGGAACACCGGUGGCGAAGGCGGGUCUCUGGGCCGAUAUUGACGCUGAGGAGCGAAAGCGUGGGGAGCGAACAGG
rnacentral:rRNA from 1 species